rnacentral:misc_RNA from 1 species
AAGUCUUCCUAUAAUCUUGGCUACCGCCCAUCCAUACAUAUAAAACCAAACACCAUAAAUCGACGGUUGAGAAUUUAAAAGGCAAAAUGACUCUAAUUAUUCUUUAAUUAGAUUAGUUAUUUUAAUAAAAAAGGGUCCAUACUAAGAUUUAAAUGGAAUUUAACCUAGCAUAUUAAUUAACAAUACCAAAAUUAAAGCAUAUCAAAUUUCUCUAACUAUGUUUUGCUUGAAAUUAAUUAGAUGAGUAGUAGAACAAAAUUAAAAUUA